AGAGUUUGAUCCUGGCUCAGGAUGAACGCUAGCUACAGGCUUAACAUAUGCAAGUCGAGGGGAAACGACAUCGAAAGCUUGCCUUUGAUGGGCGUCGACCGGCGCACGGGUGAGUAACGCGUAUCCAACCUGCCCACCACUUGGGGAUAACCUUGCGAAAGUAAGACUAAUACCCAAUGACGUCUCUAGAAGACAUCUGAAGGAGAUUAAAGAUUUAUCGGUGAUGGAUGGGGAUGCGUCUGAUUAGCUUGUUGGCGGGGUAACGGCCACCAAGGCGACGAUCAGUAGGGGUUCUGAGAGGAAGGUCCCCCANAUUGGAACUGAGACACGGUCCAAACUCCUACGGGAGGCA
rnacentral:rRNA from 1 species